GCAUUAGUGGGGUAGUGGUAACCUGGGUCGUUGCCAUCUUAAGCGGUUUCGACCCGCCGGGAGUUCGAUUCUCUCCUAAUGCA